rnacentral:misc_RNA from 1 species
CUCAGGUCAGGAAUGAUUUUUUCGAGCACAUCCAUCCUGUCAUAGAGCAUGAGCUACGCUCCACUCCACCACCACCAACCACCCCGCCCUGCCAUAUAGGCCCCAUCGCGUGGUGCGACACAGCCGUGGACACACGCGUUGCAGCAAUGUGCCGACUCCAGCCAUCUGAGCACGGCCCCUGCCUCAAGCUCUGCCCACCACUGCUCAGCAGGUCGCCACACAGCCGGCUCCCAUCAUGCCGGUCGCCACCCCUGGUGCAUCCCUCGGGGUGGCACUCAGACUAUACACACCAGGAGGCAGUGUGAGGGCCCGGGUGGGAUACGCUCGAGUCGUGCUGACUCUCUGCCCGUUACAUGGACGGCAGAAGCGUGUGCACGGCCGCAGGCCUCUCCGACGCAGUGCCAUAUACGACCUGGCCUCCCUCCACCCCGCAACGUAGCAGGUGCUUGACCCUGUCCGUCACCAGAGGUGGCUCGGCAUCGGCCGGGGAUAGGGGGGUGGGAGGAGGUGGACUGCCUGGCACCCCUGAAGAGUGGGGGCGCCGGACCCUGAGAUGCCACGCACGGAGAGGUGUGUGCCCUCCCGUGAUCGAGUGUCACGAGUAGCACGCGAGGAAAAGAAACGUUUGGAUAAUUGGAGAGUGAAGAAAGGCAAGGGACACAGAGUGCUGGAGGAGCGCACAACGGGAAGGACAAGGAACAGAACCACUCACUUCAGGUCGGGUGGACUCCCUCUCAUGCUCCUGCUCUCACCUUGCCAAUGUCUUCCCACUAUCGACUGCUGGUCGUAG